ensembl:lncRNA
AUGGCCAUAAUAAUGUUAAUUAAGUGGCCUCUUAACAGUAUGAUAUGUUACUGUUUCAGGCUUCAUUGUUAUGAGAAUGUUACAUUGGAAGCCAAUCUACAGAAAAAUGGAGUCAGUGGGACUCUCCAAACCUCUCUUUGGUUAAAAGUGUCUGACAUGAAAAUGAUCUGUGACUGUAUCAGGGCAUCUGGCUACAGUUUGAGUGAAAUAGACUUGUCUGUGAGCUAUGUGGCUGACCUAUCAGACACUGACGUGGAUGACCUGAGUGCAAUCAUCCACCCUGUAGACAAGUUAAGGCUCAGGUUUCAACACAAAGAUUUAUAUGGACUGGACGCAAUGAGUGAAGGUUUACACUCCCAGAUAUCACUCAGAGGGAUUGAAAUAACCCUCUGUGGCGAUCCCGUAUUCGACUGGAGAAAAUUAUUUCAGCUAGUUCACACUCUGGAGCAACAUCCAGAUUGGGAUGAGCAUGUUGAAGCACUGAUCUCGCUGCUACACUCUCAAACCUCUCUGGAGGACAUCGGUCUGUUUGUGAGCCGCUUGACAGAGAGGUGUGCUACCAGUGUAAUCAGUCUCAGCCAGGCCUGCCCAAACCUGCGGAUGAUAUCUCUUCAUGUAGUUGAACACAGUUUGUUAUUGGAGGAGGUAUUACAACGCUUACGUGCAUCAAAGAGGCGCCCAGAUUGCCGGGUACUUGUCGCCGGGUGGAGAUGCAGGAAACCUGCUGACCAGUGCACAGGCCGGAAGGACUGGAGUCUCUGUUGUGAUGACUCUGUUAGGCUCAAUCUACAUGGAGAAACAUUCACAGAGAGUGUGAUAAGGCAUGGGAAGAAAAGUGACAGGCCUAGUUAUCACCCUAAGAGUAAUAGAUGGUGUGUUGUUGCCUAG